rnacentral:rRNA from 1 species
GGCCAGACUCCUACGGGAGGCAGCAGUGGGGAAUAUUGCACAAUGGGGGAAACCCUGAUGCAGCGACGCCGCGUGAGUGAAGAAGUAUUUCGGUACGUAAAGCUCUAUCAGCAGGGAAGAAAAUGACGGUACCUGACCAAGAAGCCCCGGCUAACUACGUGCCAGCAGCCGCGGUAAUACGUAGGGGGCAAGCGUUAUCCGGAUUUACUGGGUGUAAAGGGAGCGUAGACGGCAGCGCAAGUCUGGAGUGAAAUGCCGGGGCCCAACCCCGGAACUGCUCUUGGAACUGCGUGGCUGGAGUGCAGGAGGGGCAGGCGGAAUUCCUGGUGUAGCGGUGAAAUGCGUAGAUAUCAGGAGGAACACCGGUGGCGAAGGCGGCCUGCUGGACUGCAACUGACGUUGAGGCCCGAAAGCGUGGGGAGCAAACAGGAUUAGAUACCCCCGUA